rnacentral:rRNA from 1 species
UAGGCGUAGGCGGGACCGGCAAGUGCCUUGUGAAAUACCCACCGGCUUAACCGUGGAACUGCUUGGUAGACUUCGGUCCUUGAGGUCGGUAGGGGUUGCUGGAACUCUAGGUGGAGCGGUGAAAUGCGUAGAUAUCUAGAGGAACGCCAAUGGUGAAGACAGGCAACUGGGCCGAUUCUGACGCUGAGGCACGAAAGCGUGGGGAGCGAACGGGAUUAGAUACCCCGGUAGUCCACGCCCUAAACGAUGUACACUAGAUCCUGGAGGCUCUGACGCCAUCAGGGUUGAAGCUAAAGUGUUAAGUGUACCGCCUGGGGAGUACGGUCGCAAGGCUAAA